AAAUAUUAUCAAUAAUUUAGUUAAUUUUAUUCUUAAAACUUUAAAUUAAAUUUCGAAUUUUAUUUUGAAUUAUAGAGAUUUUUUAAGUUUUGUUUGAAUUAAUACUUUUGAUUAAAAUUAGCAUAGUUUGAAUAUUAAAAUAGGCACAGUUUUAAAAGUAAAUGUAUUAAAAUGAUCAAAAUAUUUAGUUUAGGUAUUAAACCGGGUAGUAAUAAAUUUGAGUAUUAAAAAUUUUAAUGAAAUUUUGUUGAAAUUUUUUUAUCAUAAAUUUAUAUCAACCAAUAAUACCAAACGAAACUAUAUAUCAUGAAUCAUAAACAUGUUAAUCGUGAAGCACUAAAUAAAAAAAGAGAUUGACGACAAGCUAUGUUUUAAACAGCAUACUUGACAAAGCAUAAAGCUAUAAACCAAUAACUAUGAGCCCAGAUGAGAAUACUGAUCUCGAUGAUUGGGAUGAGUUACGACAGAGACGUCAUGGUUUUAGAUUUUAUUUUCCUUGGUGGCUAGGGAUUUUUUUUAAGCUGCUAGGAUUAGGCGUGUGUGAUAAUGUGUUGUGAAUAGAGAAAAAGAGGAAAUCGGUUAUUCUUAUUUUUAUUCCAUAGACAACAAUACAUAUAUAUAAGAAUACAAUACAAGGGUUUAGAACCUCUAGAACAUGAGUUUAUGGACCUAUAUGGACAUUCAGAUAAUAGUUCAUAACAAAAUUGUAUUAAUACUAAAGCCCUUUCUCAAAAAAAAAAAAUUGUAUUAAUACAAUUGUAAAAAAAAAUCCUACAAAUUAGUAAUCUGGAACAUGGGAAAACAAAAAAUUUCAGUACCGACGUAUAACCGAACGGAGCGGCAACCAACACAGCAUAUAACAAACAAGUGUGCAACAAAGAUUCUUAAGAGCAGCUCCAUCGCUGGGUUCAGCAGGAGGUUCUAACGAAAAGAAAGGAAAAAAAUAAAUAACAAAUGAUAAAAUUAAGCAGAACCGGUCCUUUAAUAAGGGGAUAUAGAAUCAGUUGGAACCCAUACGUGGCACAUGUUUAUUGGGCCGUUGUUUUCGCACGAAAGCCGCCAUGCAAUCACCGUGAAGGGUUAGAUCUUUUUUUUUUCUCUGUCUCGCCGGCAAGACUUGAGAGAGAUCAAAACGAGAAGCGAGCGACGGUGAUCCGUGAUCAAAGGCGUCGGGAAGUUUUUAUUUGGAGGAUGAUCGACGGCGUGCUUGAACGAAUCGACUCGGUAUGAGGAGGGAGUCACGGAAAUACAGCAAAUAAAAUAAUUUAUAAUAAUAUUUACAUUUUAAGAAAAAAAAUUAAAAUUAUUUCAGUUUUAUUCAUUUAGUUUUUGUUAUUUUAAAUCCUCGCUUAUCUUACAGAGUUACAGUUGCCAUUCACUUAUUAGUUUUUUUUCA